rnacentral:rRNA from 1 species
ACAAAUGGAUUUCCUUAUUAUAUAGGAAUAUACUUUUCCAGUAUAUUGUAACCUAGCAGAGGGCCAGUCUGGUGCCAGCAGCUGCGGUAAUUCCAGCUCUGCAAGUUUGCUCCCAUAUUGUUGUAGUUAAAACGCUCGUAGUCUGAAUUAUUUUAAUUUAAAUUUUUUAAAUUAAAAUUUAGUUUUUAUUUUAUAAAAACGUUCACUGUGAACAAAUCAGAACGCUUAAAGUAAUUUUCUUUAUUGAAUGAUUUAGCGCAGUAUGAAAUUUUUACUUUUUAAAUUUUAAUUAAUUUAACAAGUAAUAUCAAAGAGAAUAAUCGGGGAUAGAUCUAUUUCAUGGCGAACAGCGAAAUGUUUUGACCCAUGAGAGAGAAACGAAGGCGAAAGCAUCUAUCAAGUGUAUUUCUAUCGAUCAAGGGCGAGAGUAGGAGUAUCCAACCGGAUCAGAGACCCGGGUAGUUCCUACCUUAAACUAUGCCGACAAGGUUUUGUUUUUUUUAAUAAAAGCAGUACCAUAGGAGAAAUCAUAGUUCAUGGGCUCUGGGGGAACUACGACCGCAAGGCUGAAACUUGAAGGAAAUGACGGAAGGGCACACCAGGGGUGGAGCUUGUGGCUUAAUUUGAAUCAACACGGGAAAAAUUAACAGGGACCAGAUAUUUUUAAUGACUGAUCAGGCUAUAGGUCUUUCAAGAUAA